UACGUAGGGGCAAGCGUUGUCCGGAUUUAUUGGGCGUAAAGAGCGUGUAGGCGGCUUUACAGGUCCGUUGUGAAAACUCGAGGCUCAACCUCGAGACGCCGGUGGAAACCGUAAAGCUAGAGUCCGGAAGAGGAGAGUGGAAUUCCUGGUGUAGCGGUGAAAUGCGCAGAUAUCAGGAGGAACACCCGUGGCGAAAGCGGCUCUCUGGGACGGUACUGACGCUGAGACGCGAAAGCGUGGGGAGCAAACAGG
rnacentral:rRNA from 1 species